rnacentral:tRNA from 1 species
GCGAGGGUGGCGGAAUUGGCAGACGCGCCAGGUUUAGGUCCUGGUCCCGACUCGUCGGGAUGGGGGUUCGAAUCCCCCCCCUCGCA